UUCCAGACUCCUACGGGAGGCAGCAGUGGGGAAUAUUGGACAAUGGGGGGAACCCUGAUCCAGCGACGCCGCGUGAGUGAAGAAGUAUCUCGGUAUGUAAAGCUCUAUCAGCAGGGAAGAAAGAAAUGACGGUACCUGACUAAGAAGCCCCGGCUAACUACGUGCCAGCAGCCGCGGUAAUACGUAGGGGGCAAGCGUUAUCCGGAUUUAUUGGGUUUAAAGGGUGCGUAGGCGGGUUAUCAAGUCAGCGGUAAAAUCGUGGAGCUCAACUCCAUCCAGCCGUUGAAACUGAUGAUCUUGAGUGGGCGAGAAGUAUGCGGAAUGCGUGGUGUAGCGGUGAAAUGCAUAGAUAUCACGCAGAACUCCGAUUGCGAAGGCAGCAUACCGGCGCCCGACUGACGCUGAAGCACGAAAGCGUGGGUAUCGAACAGGAUUAGAUACCCGAGUA
rnacentral:rRNA from 1 species